CUUUUCACCUUACAUUUAUCUAUUUUUUCUGAAGUCUCUCUGUCUCUCUUUCUCUCUCUCUCUCUUCGUUUUCUUUUUUGUUUUCUGGAUUACCUAUUACUUUUGCACUGAAAAACAACCCUAACCAUAAUUCUCAAGCUUUCCGAGUUCAUUUCUGAACUCCUCACAGAUCAGAUCACAACGUCCUUUUUCGACGAUCGAUUACGGAUUCAUCAGAUCUAUUUUCUAUUCUAAUUCGGAACCAUGUCUCGUGCACGGACUUACCAUUCACAAGGUGGCCCUUACCUUGGUGGGUGUAGGUCCUCUUUCAAUAGAAAUCACUCCACCACCAACAAUUUAAAUAAUUAUAACGGCAAUGGAAACUGCAUAAGGAAGUACAACAAUGUCCAUGACUAUUCACAGAAAUUUAAGGAGUAUAACUAUCACAUUAAUUAUGUUAAGCAUGACGCUGCACCUUCUUUGAAAAGGAGAAAAUUUUCGGCUUCAACUUGGGAAGACUGUGGGAGACAUUAUCAACCAGAAGCACAUAAUAAUGGCCCUCCUACACGCGACAACAAUUUAGUCCUUCCUGUUGCUUCUAGACCAGAUCCCAAUGCUUACACUUCUGCCACCAGUAAACGUGAUCGCUCAACGUUUGAGGUUGAUGAUGAGGCCUUUAUGUCGAGGGAUGAGAUUGAGAGAUGCUCUCCAUCCAGGAAAGAUGGUAUUGAUGUGCUGCAUGAAACGCACUUGCGCUAUUCAUAUUGUGCUUUCCUCCAGAAUCUUGGAUUGCGAUUGGAUAUGCCUCAAACCACUAUUGGCACUGCAAUGGUUUUGUGCCACCGUUUUUUUGUUCGAAGGUCUCAUGCUUGCCACGAUAGAUUUUUGAUUGCUACUGCUACUCUUUUUCUGGCUGCAAAGUCUGAGGAGACACCACGCCCUUUGAACGAUGUGGUGAGAGCAUCAUGUGAAACUUUCCACAAGCAGGACAUCACUUUCCUCUCCUAUCUGCUCCCUGUUGAUUGGUUUGAGCAGUAUCGAGAACGGGUGAUUGAGGCUGAGCAAUUGAUAUUGACAACUCUGGAUUUUGAGCUUAACGUACAACAUCCAUAUGCUCCUCUUACAUCCAUUAUCGACAAAUUAGGCCUUUCACAAUCAGUUUUGGUGAAUUUGGCACUGAAUUUGAUCAGUGAAGGGGUCUAUACAAGAUUAGCGUGCUCACCUGUUUCAUAUUCUUAGCUGGCGGAUUGAUAUGCUGUUCAUGGAAAGUUUUGUUUUACAUCUGAAGUUGAACCACCGAUAUGUUGUGGAUGCCUUUUCAUGAAAAUAUCUUUUAACUUGUUCAUUGGCUAUAGAAGAUAGCCACUGUUGCUACAGAACCAUUUUUGCCAUCUCACUUUGACUUCUCUGUGGUCCUUUGAAAUCAAAUCAUGUGGCGUUUCAUUCAAUGUUGCAGCCCCGCUUGGUGUCCAUAUAGGACACUGUUGAAUAGGCAAAAGAAGCCAUAGAAAAGGUGUUUGGGUGAGUUUUUGUCAUGUCCAUUGAGAUUUAGCGGAUGACCACUCGUUUGAUUAUUAUCAACUACCCAAAGGGGGGAUAUAUGGUCAGGUAGCUAGGGGUUGCCUUUUCUAGAGUCAUUCAUGUUAAUUUUGAAGUUUUGUUCUGUUUCAAAAUCAUUUGGGGAUUUUCACAAAAUUAAUUUAUGGGUAUUAAUACUAUAUAUUAUCGUAGUUGAGUUUCCUAUUAAAAAAUUUUGGAAAUGAUUUAAAUUGGUUUUGUAUUUUGUAUAUUACCAAAAAUCCUUUUAUAUAUGUUAAAAACUUUAGGCCAAAUAGUAGGUUGGUGGCAUUGAUGGAAAGAAAAUGACCCAUAAAAACUCCCCCACUUUACCGCCACCACACGCACACACAUUAAGGAAAGGCUAAUGAUUUCCACAUUACUUUCCAUUGAACUAAUUUUUUAUUGUUUCUCUCUCCCCCACCCCAAUGUUCUAUAUACUAACUAAAGCUAAUACACUAUGGGUUAUGUGUACAUGCAGUGGUGAAAGUUAUUGCUUAAUGUUCAUUGAGCGGUGAUUAUGGAAAUUGCAAGAGUUUAUGUGCAAGGAUUAAUUUUUCAGUCAUUUUUGCUCCUGAUCCAUAAGCCCAUAAAUAUACACUUCUGUGCUGUAUACCUAUGCACUCUCGUGAUGUUAUCUGUCUAGUGGAUACUAGUUGGGCUCAUUGUGCAUUUUUUUAGUUUCCCCAUUUUCUAAUUGACCUCUAUUUUUGCUCAGCUAUUGUCUUGGGUUUGGGACUACAUGGACUUUUCAGUUGGUGCCCAUCCCUACCCUAAUCACUUUGGAUGUCAACCUUUGAAUCUGCUCCUUUAUAUUCUUUCCUGAUCGUAUUUUUCACAUCUCUCUCUCUCCCCGUCACUUCUUCCCUCCCUCCCUACUACAUGUUUGCUAAUUUUAUCACCCCUACACUACUACACGAAAAUAAUAAUGUUGUUUCACAUGAAAUGUUCUUUUCAUGCUUUAUUACUUUUUGAUACUUUGUUUCACAGCUCCUCCCUUAUCUUCUUCCCUUUCCUAGGUUUUUGAACUCAAUUCUUUGUGGUACUGAGUCAUACCAAAUUGCGUCAAUGUUUGAUGAUUUUUUUUUCCUUUAGAAUUUCUGUUGUCUAUGCAAGCAUGACUCUUAUAGGUUUUUAAUUGUGAAAGCGUUGAUCAGACGGUCAGAGGUUCAUUGGAGAGUGGAAAAACUGGUAAAGGCACUGGAUAUUCAGAAGAGUGAGAGUGACUGGUAGAGAUGAAACACAGAGAGAGAGAGAGAGAGAGGACUUCAAUCUCAAAGGAAACUGUAUGUUUUGAUGUAAGAGGGGUACAACCUUCUAUAUGUAGAAGGUGAGCACAUGUCCUUAGCUGGAUGUCUAUGUCUCCGAAGCCUUAGGGAAACUGAAACAGCCUAACCUAACUGAAUUGUCUCUUAAUUAGAAAUAAAAUUUUCUAGAAAUUUCUGAGCAAAGCUGGCAAGGUUUCUCUCUUAGUUGAACAAGCCUGAGGCAGCUUGAUCUGCAUAGGGGUGUAGCACGAAGCAACUGUCGUGAUAUUGGAAUCAUGAGAUGCCUGGUAUAGCUUGACCUGCAGAAUGAAGUUACAGAUCUAAGCACACAUGAAGUGUUAUUGGUUCUUUAAUCUUGUUUGGUGUGACCAAACACGUGAACCGCAGGUGUCCCUUGAAGGCUGACAAGUCUAUGGGUAAGGCAUGUCAUUGCUUGUGUCUAUGGCACAUGGCACUUCAGGAGGUAUCUACAGUGAUUUUUCUGGGCAGCGGUAGUGUGUUUUAGGGCUCCACAGAGUAAAUCAGUAAAAGGAUCCUGAGAAAUGAAUUUCUUAGAAUGGAAGGUUUUACUUUGGUCUGAUGAUGAUGUGCUCUACUGUGUGCUUGCUUAAUUAUCAGAGAACUAAUGGUGUAAUCUAGUGCUCAAUUUUUUUUUUUCGGUGAUACUUCUGCUAUAUGAACUUGAACCAUGUUGGGGGUAGGGUGGUAAUUUGAUGCAAGGGAAUUUAAGUGGAUUUCAAAUUACAUAAUAUUAUGGGUUAUUGUUAUUACCUUCUAAUCAACCAAUUAAUUAUUGUUGGUUGAUAUAUGUCAAAAGAAUGGGUAAUAAAAUAAAUAGAGUAAGGCCAAGGAGUAUAUGAGUUGAGGAGAUAAGAAAGGACAUGAUCAUGUUAAACUUACUUGAUAUUAAUCUGGAUAGAGUUAGCUGGAGAGAAUGAUCCAUGUAGCUGGCCCGAAGUAAUUGGGACAAAGGCUUGUUAAGUUGAGUUGUACACGUUAAAAGAGCGGAGUAGUAGUAACAUAAUAGUGAAGAGAUUUCAUGUAUCUUUAAAGUUUUUGAAUUGCAUUUGAUUUUCUUAAAUUGAAGGAAUUUUAAAACACUGUGAGACUUACCUAACUAAUAAAACUAAUUUUAUUUACAUUAUUAAAUAUACACAAGAUAUGGAACAACUUAAUGAAUCAUUCUUCCAUUUUGUGGGAUUUGGGAUGUAACACAUAUUUUCUAUGAAAGAAUUUAAAGUUUUUUCUAUGAAAAAAUUUAAAGAAUUUAAAUUGUUCAGCGAAGGUGGCAACAACAGUGAGGAAGUGGUGAUGCUUUUGUUUGUGUGUGUCGAUAUAUAUUUAUCAAUUUUUUGAGUUGUUGAAUCAAUCUGUGAAACUGAAUCUUGAGUAUAAAUUACACUGUUAAAAGAAAAUUCCCACCUGUGGAACUUAUUUUGAGUUUAUUGGUAAAUCAAGUUUCUGAACAAAUUUCCUAUUUUCGUUUCUAGUGGUAGUAUGCUCUAUAAAAUAUACUUUAAUAGAAGAUUUAUCCUAAAAAUCUUCCUGAUUGUGCACUUAAUGGUGUUUUCAAAUAACACCUAGUAACAAUUUUUAUAAGUAUGUGAUAUAUUUGUAUACAUAUAAUCCUGGAAGCAUAAGGGCCAUUUGUUGAAAAAUAUUAUUACUAUUAUUGUUGCCUUAAGGUAAAUGCCAUGAAAUGACACAACCCAUAUUGAUAAUGUUUAUAUUUAUUAAUUUAUAUUGCUAUUUAUUGUAUAUUAUAUUGAAUUAUACUACUAUAUUCUGCCUCGGUUUGGCAUCAUGAAGUCAAGACUUCUUUGGUCUAAGCUUUAUUAGUUAUAAUAGUACAGUUCUGCAAAACAUGCUGUCUGUGGAAAUUGAUUUGGAAGAUAUGAUGGCAUAGCUACCACCUCGUUUAUUUGAAGCACUGUUGCAGGAACCAACUGUAUUCACUUGUGAAGCAAACAAUUCAUAUAUUUUUUCUGAAAAUUUGUAUUUUUUUUCUACAUUCGCCAUUUUAAUUUUGGCAGCUAGAUUCCAAAAUUUUUCACAUGGUGGGCAUAGCAUCAUUACUAUUAUGUAUUUUGAACAAACCACCUUUCCACUUUAAAUAUGUGGUUUUGCAUAUUUUCUGUGGAGCUCUGUUAGCACUUACUUAAAGGGUAAUAAUUUCCUUAUAUUUAUAUCAGUUAUUAUUAUUAUUAUUUUUUUUAUAUUUUUUAAUUCCAAAAAACUGUUCAGACUUCACUAAACUACAAAUUUAAGGUUUGAUAAUCUACGGUCCUGUAAAUUAUUAUAUUUUUGGUCCAAACCUUUUAAAUUUUUGCAGUGUGUAUGGUAUACAGAAAUAUGUAAUUUUGGGUAAAUUAUUUCUCUAAUAAAUACAAUGAAUAUGUGUAUUCUCAAGUACGUAGAUGUUCAUUCAUAUCUGUAAGCAAAUAUGCACAUUGGCAAGCUUUGCGGAUUAAACUAUUGAGCAGAAGAUAUCAGCAUUUGCUUUGGGUGGUUUAAUGGAUCGCAACUGGGCAUGGGAGUUGAUGUGUUCUGUAGAUGGGUAUUACAUGUUUGCUAUAGUUUUGGUACUCUCCCGGCAAUUCUCCAGAAGGUUCUUGGGAAAUAUAUCUCCUGGGUUGCUGCUUUGUUAGUUGGCUUCGAAGUUCAUUGUGGCUUCAAUUUAAACCACAUCAGAUUGCUGCUGGAGCUGCAUAUCUAGCUGCCAAAUAUUUAAAUAUGGAUCUUGCUUCAUGCCAGAAUAUAUGGAUGGAGUUCCAAACGCCGCCAAUUAUUCUUGAAGAUGUGGCGCAGCAGUUGAUGGAGCUAUUUUAGAAGAUGACUACAGUGGACUUCAGUUCAGCUUGAUGGUACAUGUUCGCUUUGUGGGUAUAUAUAUAUAAAUACUAGUUCAUUGUAUUAUUGAAGUCUUGGUUGCUAUGAUUCAUAGAUCAUCAGAGUUUCUAAGGAUGUGUACUGUACCCCAUGAGAAUGCUAUACAGGGAUAGGAUAUGUAGUUUCCAAUCUUUUAACCAGUACCCUCACUGGCUGUGGAUGAAUAGAUUGAAAAAUCUGUAACUUGAAUGGUUAUGAAUGUGCAGUAGGAAUGGGCACAAAUUUUUAUUUUUUUGAAAAACUAUUGGUGACUUCAAAUGAUUAUAAAAUGUGACCUUUUUUGAGUUUUUUU